rnacentral:rRNA from 1 species
UCCAGACUCCUACGGGAGGCAGCAGUGAGGAAUAUUGGUCAAUGGCCGGAAGGCUGAACCAGCCAAGCCGCGUGAAGGACGAAGGUGCCAAGCAUUGUAAACUUCUUUUGUCAAGGGACAAAAUCAGGCUCGAGAGCCUGACCGAGGGUACUUGAAGAAAAAGCAUCGGCUAACUCCGUGCCAGCAGCCGCGGUAAUACGGAGGAUGCGAGCGUUAUCCGGAUUUAUUGGGUUUAAAGGGUGCGCAGGCGGGAGAUCAAGUCAGCGGUAAAAUGUCGGGGCUCAACCCCGGCCGGCCGUUGAAACUGGUUUUCUAGAGUUGGAGAGAAGUAUGCGGAAUUCGUGGUGUAGCGGUGAAAUGCAUAGAUAUCACGAAGAACUCCGAUUGCGAAGGCAGCAUACCGGCUCCAUACUGACGCUGAGGCACGAAAGCGUGGGGAUCGAACAGGAUUAGAUACCCCGGUAGUU